ACAGGACUGUUUAGCUCUUAUGUCCACAAUUGUUUCCCCUGCUUAAUAAUGGGUAUAAUGGGUGAGUAUCUAGGUAUCUAUAAUGCCAUCUGGUGGUGUCGGAAGAGCCCAACACACUACGAUCCAAAUCCAAAAUGGUGGCAAACACAAGGGAACAUGCAGGUGGCAGCUCAAUACACAAACAUCGACCUCGCGUCGCUACCAAACUCAAGAGGUUGAGGCCGAUAGUUCAGAAGAUGACUUGGAAGAGUCAACACCAGGACCAAGCCAAACCAAAAAAAGAGGAGAGUCCAAACAAGGGCAUGGAAUCCACUGGAAGGCUACUCCAUUGACGCCAAACCUUACGAAGUAUCAGCAUCAGGAUGAAACUUAUCGAGACAGACAUGGCUGGACCCCAUUAGACUAUUUUGAACAGUACAUAGAUAGAGAUUUGAUGACAAUGAUUACAGAAUGCUCUAAUGUUAUGUCACUGUCUAAGAGUGGGGACCCACUCAACAUGACAGUAGAUGAGGUAUGCCACUUUUUUGGUGCCUGCAUUUUGAUGUCCUGCAUCCACUA